ensembl:lncRNA
AAGAAAAAGGACAUUACUUUUCACACUGUGCGAUUACUCUGGGAAUUAAAAAGUGGUUUUUGAUUUUGUUCUGUUUUCUGAACUUGGUGUUUUGCUGUCAGAUUUGCAUUGUUAGUAUAGGCAAUUUUUGUUUCUGCUACUAAGAUGUGUCACUUACUACCAGAGACUAUGCCUGUUUUCAUCCUGUAUCAUUUUUAUCUCUUUUUUCCCAGAAGCUUUCCUCCGAUAUAAAGUAAAAAUGGAUAAGACUAACUGUAUGUCAUUCAUGCUUUCACCACAUACUUGUACUGGAGAACAUGAGCCAGUCUGUGCAACCAAUGGUCAUACUUACCGUAAUAUAUGUAUUCUCUGCAGUGAAAAGAUGUAAGAAUAUGACAGUAAAUAUUUCCUCUUCAAAAGUAAUCAGGAAGUCAUUUCAACAGAAUAGGAAAAUUCAUAGUGCCAAUAACCUAAACACAGCAUAUGUACAAAAUAACUGUCGUAACCAUACAUAAAAGAUGUCCUUUACACACCUGUACUUUUCCUUAAAGUUCUAAUUUCUAAAAAGGAGUACUGCUUUAGAGCUCUCUACAUAACCAUGCAGAAUUUUCUGAAAAUCAAUUAUUAUCUACUGCUGCUGCUGCUAAGUCGCUUCAGUCAUGUCCGACUCUGUGUGACCCCAUAGACGGCAGCCCACCAGGCUGCCCCAUCCCUGGGAUUCUCCAGGCAAGAACACUGGAGUGGGUUGCCACUUCCUUCUCCAAUGCAUGAAAGUGAAAAGUGAAAGUGAAGCCGCUCAAUCGUGUCCGACUCUUCGUGACCCCAUGGACUGCAGCCUACCAGGCUCCUCCGUCUACUAACAGCAGACUAACGUAUGGCUUCUUCGUAAAAAUUUUGAAGUUGCUCAUUUUGGUGUUUGUUGAAUUUUGAUGAAGAUAUACACCCUUAUAAUUCUAAUGUGAUCUAAUUUUGCAGUCAAUUCUACAAUUAGAAUUUGAUUUCUCUCAACUGGGUCCUUAAAUUCACAGAUGAUCAGAUAUAUCCUCUUAUGGAACAUGAGAUGGAAAAUAGAAUUUCAAAGUUAUUGCCAGUUCAAAGAUUUUUUUAUUUUAGGACUUUGAUUCUCCAUGUUUGGUUAUUUAGUGACAGUUUGAAAAAUAUCUUAAAUAUAUGUUUGAUAUCAUAAAACUUAAUACAAC